rnacentral:lncRNA from 10 species
UGCCUGCUUGGAAGCCUCCUUUCUUCCUCUGUAAAAUGGGGAUGAUCCUUUAAUACCAGCUUUGCAGGUUACUGGAGAAUCACAUGAAAUAAUGUACACUGUGAAGUGUGAAGGCAGUGUUGGUUGUUAUUAACACCAGCAGCCUGACCUUGAACCAGGCAACCAAAUGCUCUGUCUCAGAGCCCUCAUCUAUGAGAUGAGUGAGGGGAUUACAUCAUGGUACACAGGCUCUGUGAGAACCACGUAGGAGGCAUGUUAAAAUUCAGAUUCCGGGCCUGCCGUGGUUUAGAUAUUUGACCCUCCAAACAUCUUGUUGAAAUUCAACCCCUAAUAUUAGAGGUAGGGCCUAACGGGAGGUGUCUGGGUCAUGGGGGCCGAUCCUUCAUGAAUGGCUUGGUGCCAGUUGUUGAGGUAAUGAGUGAAUUCUUGCUCUAUCAGUUACCAUGACACUUGAUUGCUUCCUCUCUGGCUAUGUGACCUCUGUAUACACCAGGUCCUCUUCCCCUUCUACCAAGAGCUUGUCCCAUGGUGAGCUGAAGCCCUCACCAGAAGCAGAUGCUGGUACCAUGCUUCUUGUACAGCCUGCAGAACCGUGAGCCAAAUAAACUUCUCUUCUUUAUAAAUUGCCCAGCCUCAAGUAUUCAUUUACAGCAACACAAAUGGACUAAAACAGGGGCCCACCACAAUCUACUAAUCAGGAUUUCCAGAUGUGGGGCAUAGAGAAGUCACACGGCUGAUUCUGCUUUGCAGCCUAGUUGGGGGCAGCUGAAUUCAGUAACUGUUGAGGUCCUUUCACGCUCUAACAGCCGAAAUGGCUGUUUGGGAAUUUCGAGUCGAUUGAGCCAAGUUAUUUUGAUGGUUAGGUGCAGAUCACAGAUUUGGGGUAAUUUCAUGGUGAUAAACAGUGAAAGAGAAUCAGAAUAAACAAAGGAGAGGAAGCUGGGCACUGGCAUGGUGGACUGAGGCCUUCAUAGCUAGGAGUAGACACACACAUUAAUAGAGUGGAGGGGGCCAGCUGUUCCGCCCAUGCAGCUGUCAUAUAAAAAUGACUGGUGACAGGGGCUUCCCAAGCCACCUGAAAGAGCUUAUAGGAGGAGAGUGAAUUGUCUCAAGUCACCUAUAACUCAUACAGUCUGUGGGACUCUUAGGGUGGCUUGUCCAGGCAGCAGGCCACAUGUGGGAGGGUGGCCUUGAAGUCCUGGCUUCAGGCCUGCAGCUCCUUCACUGCCAGGCCCACAUGAUUGGCUGCCUACCACGCCUGCACUCAUCCUACUGGCUGCUCCUCUGCUUAUCCUCACAGUACAUUCCAACAUUUGUGAACGCUUGCUCACAAGUCUCUCUUCCCACAUUCUAACUUCUUUCAGAAUUCUUGUUUGUCUCGUCUGAAAAGCAAUCCAGUUCAGUAUUUGUUGACUGCCUGUUAUAUUCAAUGCCUUGUGCUAAGGACCUCAGUUGAUACAAAGAGGAGAAAGGAGUUGUGCCCUUGAAGCAUCAGUCAAAUGUGGGGAGAGAGGAGAGAAUCAGACAAAGCACACAGAUAACCCAAACCCCAAAAAACUAGCAAGUACCCUGAGAAUAGUGAAUAGCAUACGUUGUGAAAGGAUUUCAAGGAGGACGAUCACAUUCAAAACACUUCAUGGCAAAAGUGGUAUUAGAAAUGGGUUUUGAAUGGUAAGUAGAUUUUUACCAGGCAGGGAAGGAUUGGGGCACAGCAGGAGCAAAGACACAGAGGUAGCAAAAGAGGAUAUGUGUUUGGAGAAAAGCAAGCAGUGACAUCUUGACGAGGUCUUGGAAAAAAGAGGAGGCCAAAGGAUCCAAAGGUAGGCUGGGGCCAAACAGAAGCAGCACUUACUUCAACUUGGUAAAUAAGAAAGGUUCCUAAAGGUUUUUGAGAAGAGGCCUGACACGAUCCAAGCAGUACUUCGAGAACUUUGACUUAGUGCCAGUGUGCAGACUAGAGAGCCAGAUGGACUAAGUGACCUUCCACUAAUAUUAACAGCCAUUCCAUGGGGAUCUGCAAAACAAAAACAAACAAAAGUGAUUGAAAUGAAGGCUAGGGCACCUUGCUUUC